UAGGGAAUCUUCCACAAUGGACGCAAGUCUGAUGGAGCAACGCCGCGUGAGUGAAGAAGGCUUUCGGGUCGUAAAACUCUGUUAUUGAAGAAGAACGUGUGUGACAGUAACUGGUCAUGCAGUGACGGUAUUCAAUCAGGAAAGUCACGGCUAACUACGUGCCAGCAGCCGCGGUAAUACGUAGGUGGCAAGCGUUGUCCGGAUUUAUUGGGCGUAAAGCGAGUGCAGGCGGUCUUUUAAGUCUGAUGUGAAAGCCUUCGGCUUAACCGAAGAAGGGCAUCGGAAACUGGGAGACUUGAGUGCAGAAGAGGAGAGUGGAACUCCAUGUGUAGCGGUGAAAUGCGUAGAUAUAUGGAAGAACACCAGUGGCGAAGGCGGCUCUCUGGUCUGUAACUGACGCUGAGGCUCGAAAGCGUGGGUAGCAAACAGG
rnacentral:rRNA from 1 species